CCGGAGGCUACCGCUAUUGGAGUUCGAUUAAGCCAUGCGAGUCGAGAGUCUUAGGGACUCGGCGUACCGCUCAGUAACACGUGGGUAACCUGCCCUAUGCUGGGGAAUAACCUCGGGAAACUGAGAAUAAUGCCCCAUAGUCCACUACGCCUGGAACGGUGAGUGGAUCAAAGCUCCGGCGGCAUAGGAUGGGCCUGCGCCGUAUCAGGUUGUAGGGGGUGUAAAGUACCCUCUAGCCAUCAACGCGUACGGGUGUUGGGAGACAUUGCCCGGAGAUGGAUUCUGAGACACGAAUCCAGACCCUACGGGGUGCAGCAGGCGCGAAAACUUGGCAAUGCGAGCAAUCGUGACCAGGGAACUCCAAGUGCAUCGGGUAAGACCGGUGCUUUUCUUGACUCUAAAUAGGUCUUGGAAUAAGGGGUGGGUAAGGACGGUGCCAGCCGCCGCGGUAAUACCGGCGCCUCAAGUGGUAGUCGCUUUUAUUGGGCCUAAAACGUCCGUAGCCGGUCUGAUACAUUCGUGGGUAAAUCAACCAGCUCAACUGGUUGAAUUCUGCGAGGACGGUCAGACUUGGGACCGGGAGAGGUGUGGGGUACGCUCAGGGUAGGGGUAAAAUCCUGUCAUCCUGAGCGGACCACCUGUUGCGAAGGCGCCGCACUAGAACGGAUCCGACGGUCAGGGACGAAGCCUAGGGGCACGAACCGGAUUAGAUACCCGGGUAGUCCUAGGUGUAAACGCUGUGGACUUGAUGUUGGGGGUGCUCCGAGCACUCUCAGUGUCGAAGCGAAGGUGAUAAGUCCACUGCCUGGGAAGUACGGUCGCAAGGCUGAAACUUAAAGGAAUUGGCGGGGGAGCACCGCAACCUGAGGAUUGUGCGGUUUAAUUGGAUUCAACGCCGGG
rnacentral:rRNA from 1 species